rnacentral:rRNA from 1 species
UACUAGAGUAGCACUCGCAUAUCAAUAAGCGGAGGAAAAGAAACUAACAAGGAUUCCCCUAGUAACGGCGAGUGAAGCGGGAAGAGCUCAAAUUUGAAAUCUUAAAGGGUUUCCCUUUACGAAUUGUAGUUUAAAGAAGUGUUUUCUGUUGAGGUUUUGGUAAAAGUUCUUUGGAAUAGGACAUCAUAGAGGGUGAGAAUCCCGUAUUUGACCUUUACUUUCAACUUUGUGAUACACUUUCAAAGAGUCGGAUUGUUUGGGAAUGCAGUCCAAAAUGGGUGGUAAAUUUCAUCUAAAGCUAAAUAUUGGCGAGAGACCGAUAGCGAACAAGUACCGUGAGGGAAAGAUGAAAAGAACUUUGAAAAGAGAGUUAAACAGUACGUGAAAUUGUCAAAAGGGAAGCGUUUGACACCAGUGUUGUUUUUCUGAAAAUCAAUUAAAGAACUGUUUAUGCUAAGUUGUUUAGACUUUAUCAGCUAACUGUUUAGUUUUGAGCUUUUCUUUAAUGCACUUUUCAGUUAACAAGUCAACAUCAAUUUCUUUUGCUGUAAAAAAGCUUGAGGAAGGUGGCUUGAGAUUCGUCUUAAGUGUUUAUAGCCUCUUGCCUAUGCAGUCGGAGAGAUUGAGGUCUGCAGCGUAGAUCCUUCGGGGCUAAAUGCAUUUGUGCUAAGUUAUAGCAUUUAUAGACAACUUGUUGACUAUGAUUUGUCUUGUAGCUUACUCGCUUAUGUUAUUUUACCUACGCUUAGGAUGUUGAUCUCUCACAGUCGAGC